AGUCGGCACCAGUCCGAAUAUCCUCUUUUUCCCGUCAGCGAAGGGUUGCUCGGGUCGGGUCGGGUCGGGUCCGAUUUUGACCGCUUAUCAUUGGAUUUGGGCCGGUCCACGGCGAUCUGGGCCGAGCGCGAAGGCCUCGAACCGAGAUCGGAACGCCCGCCAAAACGAGCGACGAAAGCCGAACUGUCGAGAGCUCAACGGCCAUCGCCUACUCCCGUCCGUCACAGCGUUCCUCCGUUCUCUCCCUCCGCUCCGCCGUUCCGAUCGUCGGAGUAGCAAGCAGCGAGCGUAGCUCCGGCGAAAAUGGCGUCGCCUCUUGUUCCCUUCGGACCGCCCUGGCCUAGGGCUCUCGAUCCGGACACCGCGCGGAGGACUGUAUCCAGCAUUGGACGAUGAGCGAUGGAAAAGAAAAGGUUAUGGGAAAGGCAAAGAAAGGGGGAUGGUGGCUCCUCGCUUCAGGGCUCUCGAAAGUGGAGUGGAAGGCUUUGAAGGAAUUGCCAAAAGAGGAACCCGCGUGACGUGGAUUCCACUGGUUUAUUGGCCACUCCACUUAUUUUUAUCUCUGCUUAAUAUAUGUAAGCCUCUCUCUCUCUCUCUCUCUCUCUCUCUCUCUCUCUCUCCUUCCGUCUGUGUGGCUCUUUUGAUUAUGUGAAAUCAAAUUGUACAAACAGGUAUAUUUGCGGGAUAGAUCAGAUGCAAGUGAUGGGUGAACUUAUAAAAAAUUGCCGCAUGGGGUCGUGAACCAAAUACCAUUCGUAGAUGUAUACAUCUUUGUACGUGUUAUGCA